AACAUCCAUACGGGGGUGCCAAACGGGGGUAUAGGAUGUAAUCCAGGGGAGUUGAGUCUUUCCAAACUAGAGCAACUCACCAGAGUUUUCACACAAAAGAUGCACGAUCUUAUCGGAAUCCACACCGAUGUUCCGCACCAGAUAUGGGAUAAGUCCACAGACCAUGGCAUGGAUACUAGACGAAUACUCAAAGUUUCAUGGCUACUCACCUGCAGUAGUGACU